UACAGAGGGUGCAAGCGUUGUUCGGAAUUAUUGGGCGUAAAGCGCGUGUAGGCGGCUUUGCAAGUCGGGUGUGAAAGCCCUCAGCUCAACUGAGGAAGUGCGCCCGAAACUGCAGAGCUUGAGUACCGGAGAGGAUGGUGGAAUUCCCCAAGUAGAGGUGAAAAUUCGUAGAUAUCGGGAGGAACACCGGUGGCGAAGGCGGCGACCUGGGGUCGACACUGACGCUGAGGCGCGAAAAGCGUGGGGAGCAAACAGG
rnacentral:rRNA from 1 species